rnacentral:rRNA from 1 species
CGACGAGUUUGAUCCUGGCUCAGAUUGAACGCUGGCGGAAUGCUUUACACAUGCAAGUCGAACGGUAGAGGGGGCAACCCCUUGAGAGUGGCGAACGGGUGAGUAAUAUAACGGAACGUGCCCAGUCGUGGGGGAUAACGUAGCGAAAGUUACGCUAAUACCGCAUACGAUCUAAGGAUGAAAGCGGGGGACUCGCAAGACCUCGCGCGUUUGGAGCGGCCGAUAUCAGAUUAGGUAGUUGGUGGGGUAAAGGCUCACCAAGCCGACGAUCUGUAGCUGGUCUGAGAGACGACCAGCCACACGUGGGACUGAGACACGG